rnacentral:rRNA from 1 species
UCGAACGCGAAAAUCCCGCAAGGGAUCAGUAGAGUGGCAAACGGGUGAGUAACACGUGGGUGACCUGCCUUCGAGUGGGGGAUAACGUCCCGAAAGGGACGCUAAUACCGCAUGACAUCCUGCCUUUGAAGAGGCGGUGAUCAAAGCUGGGGAUCGCAAGACCUAGCGCUUGAAGAGGGGCCCGCGCCCGAUUAGCUAGUUGGUGGGGUAAUGGCCUACCAAGGCAACGAUCGGUAGCCGGCCUGAGAGGGCGGACGGCCACACUGGGACUGAGACACGGCCCAGACUCCUACGGGAGGCAGCAGUGGGGAAUUGUUCGCAAUGGGCGCAAGCCUGACGACGCAACGCCGCGUGGAGGAUGAAGACCUUCGGGUCGUAAACUCCUUUCGAUCGAGACGAAUGGCCUUCGGGUGAACAAUCCGGAGGAAUGACGGUACCGAGAGAAGAAGCCCCGGCUAACUCCGUGCCAGCAGCCGCGGUAAUACGGGGGGGGCAAGCGUUGUUCGGAAUUACUGGGCGUAAAGGGCUCGUAGGUGGCCAACUAAGUCACACGUGAAAUCCCUCGGCUUAACCGGGGAACUGCGUGUGAUACUGGAUGGCUUGAGUUUGGGAGAGGGAUGCGGAAUUCCAGGUGUAGCGGUGAAAUGCGUAGAUAUCUGGAGGAACACCGGUGGCGAAGGCGGCAUCCUGGACCAAUACU